CCCGAGAACACCCUUACUGAGUCACCAAUCAACGCUGUGAUAGGUCAUCUAUGCUGUGCAUUACGGUCGGGGACCUUGGCGGCGGAGCUGCGCGCUGGCCUACUUCUGCCACCGAGUGUAGUCAUCCGCCGAGGCGCGUCGUUCUCACCACCGGAGAACCAGCGAGUGGGAGGGAGACGCCAUGUUGCUUUCAACAGUUUUUAUGUCAUGACGAUUUCUUAACGUUAUUUGCCUUUGAUAAAGCAGAGACCCUACGUUAAGAGAUUGUCAAAUAACAUAACAAAUUAUUACAUUAUUACACAUAUAUUACUAAAAAUGUCAAUGACUUCACAAGCGAAACAAUUUUGAGCACUUCAGGCAUUCCACUUUAUUAUGAAAAUAUCCUUUAACGAAGCCUAUAUUGAAAAAUUAAACGGGAUGAAAUUGUUAUGGCCUAAAAACUGUUGAAACCACGAUGGCGUCGUCUGGUUCCUACUUCUCCCCCUUAAAUGGGUAUUUUGAGGCGCUCGCAACGAGCGCUAUGAGUAAUGGUGACGUAAGUUUUUUUUUCCUUUUCAAUUGUAACUCGUUUAGAGUUUCACGAAUGUGUUCAAUUAAAAUCAUGAAAAAUA